rnacentral:rRNA from 1 species
AUUGAACGCUGGCGGCAUGCUUUACACAUGCAAGUCGAACGGUAACAGGCCGCAAGGUGCUGACGAGUGGCGAACGGGUGAGUAAUGCAUCGGAACGUGCCCAGUCGUGGGGGAUAACGCAGCGAAAGCUGUGCUAAUAACGCAUACGAUCUAUGGAUGAAAGCGGGGGACCGUACGGCCUCGCGCGAUUGGAGCGGCCGAUGUCAGAUUAGGUAGUUGGUGGGGUAAAGGCUCACCAAGCCAACGAUCUGUAGCUGGGCUGAGAGGACGACCAGCCACACUGGGACUGAGACACGGCCCAGACUCCUACGGGAGGCAGCAGUGGGGAAUUUUGGACAAUGGGCGCAAGCCUGAUCCAGCAAUGCCGCGUGCAGGAAGAAGGCCUUCGGGUUGUAAACUGCUUUUGUACGGAACGAAACGGCGAGCUCUAAUACAGUUUGCUAAUGACGGUACCGUAAGAAUAAGCACCGGCUAACUACGUGCCAGCCGCCGCGGUAA